rnacentral:rRNA from 1 species
CAGCGCCACGAGUGGCAACCAUUUUUAUUGGGCCUAAAGCGUUCGUAGCCGGUUUAAUAAAUUUUCUGUGAAACUGUAUGGCUCAACCAGACAACGAGCAGAAAAAACUGUUAGACUAGGGACCGGGAGGAGUCAGAAGUAUUUUUAGGGGAGCGGUAAAAUGCUAUAAUCCUAGAAAGACUACCUGUGGCGAAAGCGUCUGACUAGCACAGAUUCGACGGUGAGGGACGAAAGCCAGGGUAGCAAUCCGGAUUAGAGACCCGAGUAGUCC